GGGCGCGUAGUGGAGUGGUUACCACGUUGGUCUUCGACCUGCAAAUCCCCGAUUUGCUUACGUCAACCAAAGUUCGUCGGUUCGAUCCCGGCCGCGCUCA